rnacentral:lncRNA from 1 species
UGCUGCUCCGUGGCAUAUGGAGUUCCCAGGUCAGGGAUCAGAUCUAAGCUACCAUUGCGGCAACGCUGGAUUCGAAACCCACUGUGCCAGAAGGGCAUCGAACCCGAUCCCAGCACUCCCAAGAUGGAAGAUGCUGUGGGGCAGCAACACCGUCCCGGGACUGAGGAAGCAGGACUGGGCAGGGGAAGAAGGUGAGCUGCGAGGCAGCUGUGACUCAGACCCCGCCAGUGCCCAGGAGAACUCUGAAGCUGGGCUGAUUCUUCAAUGAGCUUCUGGAUUGAGGCUGGGCGCUGGGUCUUUGUCAUCAGAUGGGGCUGCCCCUUACAAACAAAUAGCAGGAGAGGGGCUCAGCCCUGAGCUGUCAUCAGCCAACACCCUGGGGGCAGGGGCAAGGAGUGCCGACCUUACAGGGGGCAUCGGGGCUGUGCCCUGCAGCACCCACUCCACUGUGAAACUGCGUGGAGAAGUUCAAUGUCAAGCAGGGUCCAGCAGAGCUUCUCUGAUUAAAAUGGGGGCAGACUCCUGCCUCACCCUUGCCUUCCUCUCCUCGCUGUCUCCCUCCAGGGUAACUCUCAGAGCCACGCAUCUUCACCUAUGACUGCGGAGACCGCCCUCAGAAGUCACUCCCUUCGUUCUCAAGAAGUCAGCAAGAAGAGCAUCUGAGACCUAGAGAAGCCCCCUGGGGAGACCACACCCCCCCCAACUCUGAACCAGAGACCAGCUCUGCUCCCCCUUGCACCUCCCACCCAGGUCUUGGAGCCCCAGGGCCACUGCUCAGCUCUUGGGAGGGGCCGCAGCGCCUUGGGGAGGAGCGGCUUAAAUAGCUCCUGGUGCCAGGCGGGGACCGCUCCUGGCUAGGAGAGAGAGGAUCUGAAACUCCUGAUCAAGGCUUCUCUCACUGGAAGCGACUGAUCCCUGCGGAGGCUGCUCAGGUUUUCCUUCUCAGAGCAUCUCCCCAGCACACUUGGCUCCCUCUUUGGAGAACAAUAUAAUUACAGAAAAGAACAGAGAAUAGCCACGCAGAUUAAAACGACAGGUUCUCGUCCUUACAGACCCCCCGGGGGCUGAAGGGAACAGCCUUCCGUGUCCCUGAGCUCACCUUCCCAUGUGAGCCUCUUGCAGAACUGGCAGCUUCUUCAAAUGAGGCAGGCGAGCUGAGCAAACUGGCUUUCCUUUCAUUUAACCUCUUUCCCUGCCUUGCCUCAUGCUAAGGAGGAGCUCAUUAAAUGGCCUCAUACCUAUUUUCCUCAGAAACUGCCUCUCUCUGAGGCCCUCCACUGAGUUCCAUAUCUUUGUUCGAAUGGAGAAUAAUACAUUGGAGUCGAGAUGGUGACAUUUUAAAAAAAAUGCUCCCGGCUGCUCAAGACGGUCUGUCUACCGCAUCCAUCAUUUACAAGAUCUUUCCACAAAACGAGGCCGAGUCUGCAUUCCCGAUGCUUCUCCUCUUCCCUGGCCAUCCCUGCACCUCUCCUCACCCUUCUCCCUCACCCGCCCCACCACACACGCUCAGAUCACUACAGGCCGUCCUAGGAGUGGAAUGUGUGUUUUCUUGUCCCCAACGCGGACCGUUUCUUUGCUCAUUAUCCACAACAGGACAUUUGGCCGGGUGCCUAUUGAGUCACUCUGCUUACUCAGCUAAAGCGUGUAGCCUGGAAAGAUUUCAACCACCGAGUUCAAGAAAGUGAUCUGGGGACAGCGUUGGAAAAUGACGACAUGUCACUGACACGGGCUACAAAUCCACAGUUAAUGGCGUUUCCACACAUCUCGUGCCAGGCUCUCCUCAUCCGGCACCAAAUUAAGAAAAGAUGACACACAACAGCACAAGAGCAGCCCAUCAAACAACCAAGAAGUGACAUGCUCAGCAGGACUAUAGAAAAGUGGCUGUCUUACCUGUCAGAUAUAACCUUUUCUUCUCGGUCUUGUGCUCUUCUGAAAAGGUAGGGAAUGAUUGCUUACAUUUCUGAGGUUUGUG